rnacentral:lncRNA from 1 species
GUCGGGAAAGGCAAACCUUGGGGAAGAUCUUUACAGUAACAUGACUGCAGAAUCACCCACGGUAGAAGAGGUGCUUCAUGCCCUCAAUUUAAAAUCUGAACAUAGAGCCCUUGAAGUGAUUAACAGGUUGGAGGCAGCAGCACUUGCAUGGAAACAUAGAAUGUUAGAAAAACGCAACUAUGAAUCUCCAAUUCAUACAUCAUUGUCUUUUCUAAAGGAUUCAGAAUCUGAUAUGGAUAAAAUGGAAUACUUGUUAAACCAGACUGAAAGUCUUGUCCAGGAAAUUAAAGCCAGAUUCCCAAAACUUCCCCAAUCGUUCCUGGAUGUCACAAAAAUCCAAUAUGGCAAGGUAUGUACAGUUUCAUUUAUAUCGCACAAGAAACAACCUCAAUGUCAGAAAUAUCACUUCUUGAUGUUCAGUGUUUUCAUUCUUCCAUAGUAGUAGUCAGCUAUUGAAUGAUCAGAUGCCCUAAUAAUUCAGCUUAAUGUGUUUACAUGCUUACAGGAUGUUGGUCAGGCAAUCCUAGAGGCUUAUUCUCGGGUUCUUGCAAACUUAGCAUUCAGCAUACUCAGUAGGAUAGGAGAUGUUCUGCAGGAAGAAGUUUUAAGUAAUCCAAAUUCCCCUGCUGCAACAUUUAACUUUCCUGGAGUAAACCAUGUCAAUCAAAGAAUGCCGAGUCAGCAUGUGAGACACUUUCUCAUUAAUCAAAUGAAUAUUGUAGAUGGCCGGUUUCGCGAGCCCAACACUGUCAAGUAUAGCAAAUAUGAGUCCUGGGACGAUAAACACAAAAGAAUGGCAAGUCAGCAUGUGAGACACUCUCUCAUUGAUCAAAUGAAUAUUGUAGAUGGCCGGUUUCGCGAGCCCAACACUGUCAAGUAUAGCAAAUACGAGUCCUGGGACGAUAAACACAAAAUUAGCAUUGUCCAAGGCCAUAACAAAUCUUGCAGGUAUGUAGUACUACUUUUUACUAGGAGAGUAUGAAGUAAUAUACGCUUAAUUUUUUUAAACUGUUGCAAACGAGUCCAUCUAAAACUUCAGAAUCCCUCGAACUUGAGACCUCCGCCAAACCUAGCUCUGAUAUCAUGUUAGAUAACCAGUCCAUCUAAAACUUUAAGGUGUUAUAUCAAUAGAAACAUGAGAUGAAUAUUUAAAUUUGCAGCAUUGGUUUUCGGAGAGCUAUGGAAACUGGAACCUUUGUCUGAGGAGAGGAAGAAAAAGUGGCGACAAGAAAUGGACUGGAUACUAUCGCCUACUAACUAUAUGAUCGAGCUGGUUCCAGCUAAACAACAUAGCAUCAAUGGCCAGACCAUGGAGGUAUAUAUAUCUUGUAUCGGAAUAGCUAUGAGCUAAAAUACCAUGUCGGACUAAUAACUCUCUUGAAAUUAUAAGGUGUUAGUAGAAGCCACCAAAUAGAUCGUAUAAACACUUACAUAUUGUCACUGAAGCAGAUAAUGACACCUAAGGCUCGAGCUGACAUCCAUAUGAAUCUUCCAGCACUUCAGAAGUUGGACUCCAUGCUCAUUGUAAGGUGUCUCCAGCCUAUCAUCAGAAUAACCUGGAGUAAACCUUAACUAAUUUUAAGCAUAUUGAAUUCACAGGAAACGUUGGAUUCUAUGGUUGGCACUGAAUUUUGGUACGUAGAAGGGGGUAGCCGAGCAGAAGGAAGGAGCAAUAGUUCUAGGCAAAGCAAUAGAUGGUGGCUUCCGUCACCAAAAGUACCUGCAGCAGGGCUAUCAGAUACUGAAAGGAAGAAAUUGCUAAAUCAGGGUAAAGUAGUUCAUCAAGUUUUCAAGGCUGCAAAAUCCAUUAAUAAAAAUGUCUUGCUCGAGAUGUCUGUUCCUGAUUUUAUACGGGAGGCACUUCCUAAGGCAAGCAAUCAAUACUUGAAUUACUAUGUCAACGAAAAAUUCAGUGUCAAGGAUGAGUUUUGAUUACUGUGUACUUUUUCUUUGCAGUCGGGAAAGGCAAACCUUGGGGAAGAUCUUUACAGUAACAUGACUGCAGAAUCACCCACGGUAGAAGAGGUGCUUCAUGCCCUCAAUUUAAAAUCUGAACAUAGAGCCCUUGAAGUGAUUAACAGGUUGGAGGCAGCAGCACUUGCAUGGAAACAUAGAAUGUUAGAAAAACGCAACUAUGAAUCUCCAAUUCAUACAUCAUUGUCUUUUCUAAAGGAUUCAGAAUCUGAUAUGGAUAAAAUGGAAUACUUGUUAAACCAGACUGAAAGUCUUGUCCAGGAAAUUAAAGCCAGAUUCCCAAAACUUCCCCAAUCGUUCCUGGAUGUCACAAAAAUCCAAUAUGGCAAGGUAUGUACAGUUUCAUUUAUAUCGCACAAGAAACAACCUCAAUGUCAGAAAUAUCACUUCUUGAUGUUCAGUGUUUUCAUUCUUCCAUAGUAGUAGUCAGCUAUUGAAUGAUCAGAUGCCCUAAUAAUUCAGCUUAAUGUGUUUACAUGCUUACAGGAUGUUGGUCAGGCAAUCCUAGAGGCUUAUUCUCGGGUUCUUGCAAACUUAGCAUUCAGCAUACUCAGUAGGAUAGGAGAUGUUCUGCAGGAAGAAGUUUUAAGUAAUCCAAAUUCCCCUGCUGCAACAUUUAACUUUCCUGGAGUAAACCAUGUCAAUCAAAGAAUGCCGAGUCAGCAUGUGAGACACUUUCUCAUUAAUCAAAUGAAUAUUGUAGAUGGCCGGUUUCGCGAGCCCAACACUGUCAAGUAUAGCAAAUAUGAGUCCUGGGACGAUAAACACAAAAGAAUGGCAAGUCAGCAUGUGAGACACUCUCUCAUUGAUCAAAUGAAUAUUGUAGAUGGCCGGUUUCGCGAGCCCAACACUGUCAAGUAUAGCAAAUACGAGUCCUGGGACGAUAAACACAAAACAAGUUUAGUGACAGGCACACCUGGCCAGAGCAGAGUAUGGUG